AGCGAACGCUGGCGGCAGGCUUAACACAUGCAAGUCGAGCGGGCCUUUCGGGGUCAGCGGCAGACGGGUGAGUAACGCGUGGGAACGUACCUUCUGGUCUGGAAUAACCCUGGGAAACUAGGGCUAAUACCGGAUACGCCCUUUUGGGGAAAGGUUUACUGCCGGAAGAUCGGCCCGCGUCUGAUUAGCUAGUUGGUGGGGUAACGGCCUACCAAGGCGACGAUCAGUAGCUGGUCUGAGAGGAUGAUCAGCCACACUGGGACUGAGACACGGCCCAGACUCCUACGGGAGGCGGCGGUGGGGAAUAUUGAAGAAUGGGCGCAAGCCUGGUCCAGCCAGGCCGCGUGAGUGAUGAGGGCCUUAGGGUGGUAAAGCUCUUUUAUCCGGGACGAUAAUGGCGGGACGGGAGGAAUAAGCCCCGGCUACCUUCGUGCCAGCAGCCGCGGUAA
rnacentral:rRNA from 1 species